rnacentral:rRNA from 1 species
GACGAACCGUGCGAACGUUGUUCGGAUUCACUGGGCUUAAAGGGCGCGUAGGCGGGCCACCAAGUCAGGGGUGAAAUCUUUCAGCUCAACUGGAAAAGUGCCUUUGAUACUGGUGGCCUCGAGGGAGGUAGGGGCGUGCGGAACUUCCGGUGUAGCAGUGAAAUGCGUAGAUAUGCGGAGGAACACCGAUGGCGAAGGCAAUCCCCUGGGCCUGCACUGACGCUCAUGCACGAAAGCGUGGGGAGCAAACAGG